rnacentral:rRNA from 1 species
GCCUACAACCAUACCACCCUCAAAGUACCUGAUUUCAUCUCAUCUCAGAAAUGAAACAGGUUGGUCCUACUUAGUACUUAGAUAGAAACCCCAGUACUACAAAAAAAGAAAAGGAAAGAAGGAA